rnacentral:tmRNA from 18 species
AGUGUCUCGGACAGCGGUUCGAUUCCGCUCAGCUCCAUUCCCCCGACCCACCGCCCCGCCGGCGGUGCGUCAUCCCGGGGCUGCAAUGGUUUCGACGGGGCAUGAGGAGGGUGACUGAAGCCUGCUCGGUCAGAGCGAACCCGUAACAGCGAACAACAUCGUUCGUUUCUCCCGUCAAGCCGCCCCUGUGGCUGCCUGACACUCUUAACGGAGACGGGGUGAGGUCAGCCUUGUCACCCAAAUGACCCAUG